GCGAAAGUGGCGGAACCGGUAGACGCGCUGGCUUUAGGUGCCAGUGGGGCAACCCGUGGGGGUUCGAGUCCCCCCUUUCGCACCA
rnacentral:tRNA from 2 species